ensembl:rRNA 5S_rRNA 5S ribosomal RNA
UUUCAUGGCCAUAUUACCCUGAGCAUACCUGAUCUUGUCUGAUCUUGGAAGCUAAGCAGGGUCAGGCCUAGUUAGUACUAGCAUGGGAGACUGCCUGGGAAUACGGGGUGCUGUAGGGU